GGAAGACACAUAAACUAAAUAUCAAUUUUAGCCACAUGACAGUUUCUCCAUAGCUCCUUAUUAAAAUGUUAUCAAAUAAGAGAUUUUUCAAAAAUAAAGAGGGAGAAACUCACUAUAGUAGUUCAAAUGAAAACAUGCUAGCAGUUCAAAAAAAAAAAAACACAAAAAAACAACCCACUGCAAUGAGCCACUCAUUUGCUACUGCAGCUAAGAAGGCUAACAAAACAGUGAGCUCAUGUUUCACCCACGGGAGACACAGAGGAGGAGUCCUCAGACCCUGACCACAGAAGAGGUGGGGCAGAACUUGCAUUCUGCUCACUACACAGCUGAAGGGCUGUGUUCACAGUGCUCAGCACACUGGAGAUGACUUUGCCACUUGCUGAUGAGAGCUUCUGAGAGGAUCUCUAUCUUCUUCAGAGGUACAGGGCCUGGAGUAUGGAGAUCCACCAGAUGUGGAGGAGGUAUGGGAAUAAUAGAAGAGUGAGAAUUCUGCUCUGUAACGACAAUUAGAAUAUAUGAAUUGGAUACUAAAUUUGUGCGAUACACUGAAAGAAAUUGUAAAUCAUGUUCUGUCCCUAGCUUUACCUGUUUAAAAAUAAAUGAGUCCCAUUUCUCUCUAACUAAUUGUGCUGAGACAAUUCUUAUCUUCAGAAGUCAAGGAACAGCUGUUUACUAAUGGAUCACAGCAGGAGAAUAAAUGCAGCAGUCUAGGAUAGGAUAUUUUUCACUCGUGUGCAACUUGUUUCUCAAUAUUUUGUCCUCUGUUGUGGAUUAUAAAGUGCGUAUAUGAAAGUAAACAUCAGGAGAUCACUCUUCCUCUCCCUGCAUGAAGAAUAACACUUCAAGGCAUAUUAGUCAUUUGUAUUUUCUGAGCACUGUGUAACACAGUUUUUUAUUGUAUAUAAUAAGUACAAAUGGAAACAUGUUUUCAGAUUACUUUUCUCUUUAAUCAUAAGGACAACAUAUUAAGAUGUGAAUAGUUCUUCAAAUAAGUCAUAUCUGAUUUGCUUGUUUCUGUGUUUUGGUGUAUUAUGUUAUCACAAGUUGCUGCAUGCCUUCCACAAUUACAUGGCUAUUACAACAAUCUAAGUAACAUAUAAGAGUAAACUAGAGGAGCAGAGAUUAGAAUUAGAACACUUCAAGAAGGCAAGAAUUUUCAAGGGUUUCAAAUAUUUCAGAGGUCAUAUAUAAAAUGAAAAAAAAAAGAAACUCAACAACAGAUUUGGCAAUUUGGAGAGUUUUGCUAGAAUUGCAAUUUGGGUUGAGACCCACCUGGGUUGUUGUAAGAGGUAAGGAUUGCUUAUCAACUAUUUCUUUAAAAGGAUUUACAGUAAGGGCCAUCAGAAUUCAUUUUUGAGGAAACAGUGUACAUUUCUUUGAAUUAGGAAUAUAUCUGGAACAAUACCUAUUUUGACUAUUAAUUGACAUUUCAACUUGAUUGAAAUAAAAAGCUCCUAGCAGGUUGGUGGGGCACAUUUCUGGGUGUGUUUGUGUGUUUGAUGGAAACUUCACCUUGGUUGCUAAAUCUGGUUCUUCCCCAUUUUCUGGCAUUGUUUCUCUGCUCUGCUUCCCAGCCACAAUGAACUAAGUAUCUUUGCUCCACCAUGUAUUUACCCAAAGAAGUAAAAAACUUAUUAUCUCACAAAAUCCUAUACACAGAGGUAUUUAUAUCAGCUUUAUUCAUAAUUACCAAAUCUUUGAAGCAAGCAAGAUGUCCUUCAUAGAUGAAUAGAUAAAUAAAUUAUGGUAUAUUUAGACAAUAAAUAUUGUUCAGUGCUAAAAAAUAAAUUAACUACCAAGCAUGAAAAAACCUGGAAAAAACUUGAAUAGUUGUAAGUGAAAGAAGCCAAUCUGAAAAGGCCACAUGUUGUAUAAUUCUAACAAUAUGACAUUCUAGAAAAAGUAAAACUAUAGACAAUAUAAGGACCAAUAGUUGCCACAGAAUUUAAAGAGGGAAAGAUGAAUAGGU